GGUGAGUAACACGUGGGCAAUCUGCCCUUCACUCUGGGACAAGCCCUGGAAACGGGGUCUAAUACCGGAUAACACUCCUGCCUGCAUGGGUGGGGGUUAAAAGCUCCGGCGGUGAAGGAUGAGCCCGCGGCCUAUCAGCUUGUUGGUGGGGUAAUGGCCCACCAAGGCGACGACGGGUAGCCGGCCUGAGAGGGCGACCGGCCACACUGGGACUGAGACACGGCCCAGACUCCUACGGGAGGCAGCAGUGGGGAAUAUUGCACAAUGGGCGAAAGCCUGAUGCAGCGACGCCGCGUGAGGGAUGACGGCCUUCGGGUUGUAAACCUCUUUCAGCAGGGAAGAAGCGAAAGUGACGGUACCUGCAGAAGAAGCGCCGGCUAACUACGUGCCAGCAGCCGCGGUAAUACGUAGGGCGCAAGCGUUGUCCGGAAUUAUUGGGCGUAAAGAGCUCGUAGGCGGCUUGUCACGUCGGAUGUGAAAGCCCGAGGCUUAACCUCGGGUCUGCAUUCGAUACGGGCUAGCUAGAGUGUGGUAGGGGAGAUCGGAAUUCCUGGUGUAGCGGUGAAAUGCGCAGAUAUCAGGAGGAACACCGGUGGCGAAGGCGGAUCUCUGGGCCAUUACUGACGCUGAGGAGCGAAAGCGUGGGGAGCGAACAGGAUUAGAUACCCUGGUAGUCCACGCCGUAAACGUUGGGAACUAGGUGUUGGCGACAUUCCACGUCGUCNGUGCCGCAGCUAACGCAUUAAGUUCCCCGCCUGGGGAGUANGNCGCAAGGCUAAACUCAAAGGAAUUGANGGGGGCCCGCACAAGCAGCGGAGCAUGUNGCUUAUUCGACGCAACGCGANAACCUUACCAAGCUUGAC
rnacentral:rRNA from 1 species